CAGGACGAACGCUGGCGGCGUGCCUAAUACAUGCAAGUCGAACGGCUUUUCUAUGGAAGCUUGCUUCCACUGAGAAGAUAGUGGCGAACGGGUGAGUAACACGUGGGUAACCUGCCCAUAAGAGGGGGGAUAACAUCCGGAAACGGGUGCUAAUACCGCAUAGUUUUCUUGAUCGCAUGAUCGGGAAAGGAAAGACGGCCUUUGUGCUGUCGCUUAUGGAUGGACCCGCGGCGUAUUAGUUAGUUGGUGAGGUAACGGCUCACCAAGACGAUGAUACGUAGCCGACCUGAGAGGGUGAUCGGCCACAUUGGGACUGAGACACGGCCCAAACUCCUACGGGAGGCAGCAGUAGGGAAUCUUCCGCAAUGGACGAAAGUCUGACGGAGCAACGCCGCGUGAGUGAAAGAAGGUUUUCGGAUCGUAAAACUCUGUUGUCAGAGAAGAACAAGUUGGAGAGUAACUGCUCCAGCCUUGACGGUAUCUGACCAGAAAGCCACGGCUAACUACGUGCCAGCCGCCGC
rnacentral:rRNA from 1 species